rnacentral:misc_RNA from 1 species
CUAUAAAAGCGAUCAUAGCAUGGAAAUAACACCAAGAAACACUUUCUAUCUGGAGAUAAAAGUUAGACUAUUUUUACAUGUCGCACUUACAAGACAACAGAAAUAGCUUUAUCAAGUACCAAAGAAACAUGCAAUACUACAGGAAACUGGACAAAUAGUGGCAUGCCAAAAUGUGUCGAAAUUAUAUACCAAUGUGUGCAUUCAAGCAAUAAUGACCGACCUAAAAAAUCAGUCAUCACAUAUAAAACCGCAAAAUGCACCAACACAUGUUUAUAUACGCUUUCGUUGACGCAUCCAUUGCAACAUACACACAGUGAAUGCAACGCCUAUAAAAGCGACAAUAGCAUAGCACUAAGGGUAUGCUAUCAGACAAUUCUGAAUAGAGCUAUCAGGAAACAAUCAAGUUCAAAUAAAACAAAGGAUACAAUUGAUAUGGUUAUCAAGAUAAGCAUGUGCAAGAAUUAUACCCGGCGCCUGAAACGCUGCGGGG